UGCGAGUUCAUUAACUCCUCAGUCUCUUGGUCCACUCCCACUUGGCAGGAGUGUGGUCCCUGUAGAUGGUGUCCCAGAAGGGCACCGACAUCCAGACUCCCCGUCCUUGGGGCCUCUCAACCCUGCAGCGGGUGGACCCACGCUGCAGUCAGGAACCUUGGUCUAUGCUCACUACUCUCACUAAUUAGCUAUUUUGACCAAGAUAAAUCACCUCUAACCUUUCCGGGCUUCAGCUUCCGAAUCUGAAAACAAGACGAUUGAACUCUUGAAGGUCCCUUCUAUUUCGAAAAACCCAGGAUUCUAUUUCUGACCUACCUCUUUAAGUUUUAAAUAAUGACAACGGCAUCUGAAAGCCUCUUUUCCUAAACUUUUCCCAAGGCCAGAUGUUCCUGGCACUGACUUAGGAGAAAAAAAUAGUUUUUGAAUAACCUAACAUUUUUGUCUUUCAGAGCAAAUUAUCCUCUGGCCUUUUCAAUUCUUUUUCCCCUACUGCUCCCUCCGUAUGAAUCUUUAACAGAAGUUUUAAAAAAGUAAACUAUCUACUCUUCCUGAUUUGUCAGGCAGGGUUUAUCUUGUAACAGCAUUAUUUUUUUUUCUACUUUAGUAUUCCUAUAUAAAACCUCUCCAACAUUGUUAGUCCGGUAACUGUGCCUCAGCCCCAAUUUGUCCCUGUUUUGCAGGAAGGUUAUUAAAUGCUCUGGGGAUGAGGAACAAAAAGCUGAGAGACCGGGCUGGAGAAGGAAGCAAGCUGUCCAUACAGUGCAGACACUCUGGAGAACACCGUGGGCUAGAACGACAAGAGGAACCAAGAAGCUUCCAACUCAACCUCUCUUCAUUACUCUCCCCACCUCUAUCAACACGUUAACGCAGCCACGGAAGAAAUCUAGUAGGUUUUCAAAAACAUCCAGAAAAAGACUCAGCACCCUCUCUGGCCAACAUGUUCUAGUGCUUGAUAACAAUCCAAGAAUGCAGUAACUUCCUCCCUCUAACUCAGAUUCGAGACACUCUCCUUUCUCGUACAGGUCUGAAAGUAUCAGGCCCUUGCGGAAGAGCCUUUUAUUGACCUGACGCUCUUCAUUAAACUGUCCCUCACCGGCCAGAGGAUGAAUAACCUUGGACCACUGAGCUGUUUCUAGGCUCUAAUUUCCAGUGCUUUAACCGUCCCUCUGGCUCGGCUCUAGACUCUUCAAGUCCUCCUUCGUACAAGUAGCACGGCUUGUGAAGACACACAGCU
rnacentral:lncRNA from 1 species